rnacentral:rRNA from 1 species
GUGCCAGCAGCCGCGGUAACACGUAUGGGGCGAGCGUUGUUCGGAAUUACUGGGCAUAAAGGGCGUGUAGGCGGUUCGGUAAGCCUGGCGUGAAAGGUAUCGGCCUAACCGGUAGAUGGCGCUGGGAACUGCGGGACUGGAGUUUUGGAGGGGGAGCUGGAAUUCCUGGUGUAGGGGUGAAAUCUGUAGCGAUCAGGAAGAACACCGGUGGCGAAGGCGAGCUCCUGGCCAAUGACUGACGCUGAGGCGCGAAAGCGUGGGGAGCAAACAGGAUUAGAUACCCUGGUAGUCCACGCUGUAAACGAUGUGCACUAGGUGUUCGUGCCAUACGGGCAUCGGUGCCGUAGCUAAGGCGCUAAGUGCACCGCCUGGGGAGUAUGCUCGCAAGGGUGAAACUUAAAUGAAUUGGCGGGG